rnacentral:rRNA from 1 species
CGGACAGAGCCCGUGAAUCCGGGCCGGCGAAUUCAGGACCGAUACGCGCGCCUGUUACGCGGGUGCCGCGCGUCGGUUUGAUGUUUCGUCGGCCGUAUUUCAUUCGGACGUUGCGACCCGUUUGGUGCUGGUUUUUGUAAGGGCCGACGUACAGUUCGUCAGUUUAAUUCGUUUCGGCGAAUUAGUUUGACGAUGCGUCAGUUCCGAGCUAGCUAGCCCGACGGUAUAAGAAUGGUGUCCGGCUGCGGAGGACUCGUCCUCCGCUGUCCGGUACCGGUCGGUAACGAUUAUUCGGGCCUCUUUCCGACCCGUCUUGAAACACGGACCAAGGAGUCUAACGUGUGCGCGAGUCAUAGGGUGUCGCCGGCUGGUGGGCGUGUUCGCGCGCGUCUAUCAGUCGGCGUUAUACGAACGAAACCCGACUAUAGGCGUAAUGAAAGUAAUAUUUUUGUGCUCGUCACAAUAUUGGGAAGAUAGCGUUCCGAGUACACGUUCUAGACUUUCGAUCUAGACCGGACGCUCGCAUUCCCGGGGCGUUCCUUCAGUCCGGCGGUGUGCUACUUCGGUGGUAGGCCGUCGAACUGGGGCGCACUCGUAGCGUACACGUUGGUACCCGAAAGAUGGUGAACUAUGCCCGGCCAGGAUGAAGUCAGGGGAAACCCUGAUGGAGGUCCGCAGCGAUUCUGACGUGCAAAUCGAUCGUCU